rnacentral:misc_RNA from 1 species
CCGAGUUUACAACUCCCAAACCCCUGUGAACAUACCUAUCGUUGCUUCGGCGGGAUCGCCCCGGCGCCCUCGGGCCCGGACCCAGGCGCCCGCCGGAGGACCCAAACCCUUGAUUCUAUGAGUAUCUUCUGAGUGAACAAGCAAAUAAAUUA